rnacentral:rRNA from 1 species
CCCUUAGAUGUUCUGGGCUGCACGCGCGCGACAAUGACGUUUGCAACGAGAUACGAGACCGAAAGGUUAAGUUGAUCUAGCAAGCUGCGUCGUGAUAGGGACUGUCGAUUGCAAUUAUUCGACACGAACGAGGAAUUCCUUGUAAUCGCACAUCAUCAGUGUGCGCUGAAUACGUCCCUGCCCUUUGUACACACCGCCCGUCGCUCCUACCGACCGAGUGAUCCGGUGAAUGUUUUGGAUCGGUUGCAAGUUGCGCGACGCGCUUCUUGCAUGCUGUGAAAUCAUGUAAGCCUUAUUGCUUAGAGGAAGGAGAAGUCGUAACA